AGAUGUCUAGCCUGCCCAGUGACAUAGUUUAACGGCCGCGGUACCCUAACCGUGCGAAGGUAGCAUAAUCACUUGUUCUCUAAAUAGGGACUCGUAUCAACGGCAUCACGAGGGCUGUACUGUCUCCUUUCUCCAAUCAGUGAAACUGAUCUCCCCGUGAAGAAGCGGGGAUUAACAUAUAAGACGAGAAGACCCCAUGGAGCUUUAAACCCAAUAUACACCUCUACGCACUCAAAUCAAUAUAGCCCAAGAACCUUGUGUAUUGGUUUUAGGUUGGGGGGACCGCGGAGUAAAGUCAAACCUCCACAACAGACGGAUUAACACCCUUAUCCAUGAACUACAAUUCUAAGAGCCAAUAAAUUGUUGUCUAAUGACCCAAUUACUUGAUCAACGAACCAAGUUACCCUGGGGAUAACAGCGCAAUCUACUUCAAGAGCCCCUAUCGACAAGUAGGUUUACGACCUCGAUGUUGGAUCAGGGUAUCCUAGUGGUGCAGCCGCUACUAAAGGUUCGUUUGUUCAACGAUUAAAACCCUACGUGAUCUG
rnacentral:rRNA from 1 species